GGUCCCUUUGCUCAAACAUUAACUUCCCCCUGAAAAGGCAAAUUGCUUGAGAAGAUAGAAAAAGUGUCAGUACACUCACUGGCUCUAGAAUUCAGAACGCAGGUGGCUGGUUUCACCUAAGGGGUUGCUGUUGCCAUGGUUAUUGUUGAAACAAGCCAAGCACCUACAGCUUGCUCUUUGGAGGCUGCAGUCCUGGCCCUACAAUCACUGAAGCAUUACAAGGGCACCGGCCUGUGCGUGCGUGCGUGCACCUUCCAGGCUCAAUUCUACUGUUUCCAGAGCAAUGGUAUACAAGAGAAAUAUAAUGGAAGAUUGUAGACCUUCCCUGGUCAUCGCUGGGCUCAGAAUUCACUGUGAUAGACUACAGUAAGGAAGAUCGUGAACAAGCAACAGCUCUGGAAAUAGCAUCCUACUACAGUCGUUUAGGAUCCACAUGAUGGCCAACUUGCACAUAUGCUAUAUAAAUUUAAUUUGAUUUGAUUUGAUAUGAUGUAAAAAAAAACUACUUGAACAAACUACAAAGAGCAAGUCAGUAAAUACCACCCCUUCACAAUGUAAGCCUCAGUUCCUGCCUCCAGUCUCCUGACUUAUAUUCUUGCUAUGGCUUCCCCAAGUUAAGGACUGUGAUCUGUACUCUUAAAAUAAAUGAUUUUCUUUCUCAA